CCGCCCGGUGGUCGACCUCGAGGCGAUCUACCCGCCCGGCGACGGCGGCGACGCGGCGCUCGCCUGGUUCGACGCCGAGCGGGCGGC
rnacentral:tRNA from 1 species